UAGUCGAUGCUACAGUAAGGAAGCGGUGGAUACAAAGAUUUAGACACAAAGUUACGAAACCUGCUGAAGCAGAAGCAUCUGCUUCAAACGUACAUGUAGGAACCGAAGUUGAUACUGCUACCAAUAUAUCUGUACCAGACAACAAUGAAGUGCAUCUACAUGAUCACGAGUAUACAGCACCAAACUCUCAACAUUUAAAAAGCUUCCCUUGAAGACUAUGAUGUUGUAAACUUGCAGUGAGAAAUAUACCUGCUUAAUUAAAGGAAACCAUCCUUGACAAUUGGGAACAUCAUAAUUGAAAGACCCUGGAAAGGGAUCAUGAACACUGUUGGGAGUGUCCAUUCAGCUGAAAUAUAAAAGUCAGAAGAAUUGAAGAUUGCAAUGGAUGCAACAGAAGUGACCUAAUAUGACCAAAUUGAUAUGAAUAGCCAGUUUUUCGCUUGCAGUAAUGACAAGAGUCGCCACAAAGAAAAAACCUUAAUGUGUAUUACACCUAAUGCAGCUUAUUUCCAAUCUGUAUAUGCUGGAUACAAAUCUAAUUUGGCAAUUGUGAACCAUUGUGGCAUUUUAGAGAAGUUGCAAGUUGGUGAUAUAUUCCUGGCGGACAAAGGAUUUUGUAUAUUUGACAAACUUCCAAAUGACAAGACACUUAAUAUCCCAUUCUUUCUUACAAAUAAAUCCCACUUCUCAAAAGAGGAUGCACAACUUUGCUAUAAAAUUUCCAGAUGCAGAAUCCAUGUUGGAUGGGAAAAUGAGAGAAUAAUAUUUUUUAAAAAUUCCUUAGCCAUAUUCUAUCAUAGUUUAGAUAUUGAUCUGAAAAAAUAUUUCAGAUUUGUAUGGAUCAUGUGAAUUUGCAGGUUCCCCUUUUGAAGGAGAUUGCAGAUAAAUCCUACAAACUUAUUAGAUUAAUUGCAUGUAUAUAUAUAUACCUUAAAUCUGCACAUACCUGCCACAUUGAAUUUUUAAAGUUAAAAGUAAUGAAUACCAUAUAUGCAAUAUAACUUUUCUACAUAUUUAUAUAAAUAUAAAGCCUUUUAUAUUCAUAUGAAUAUAAAGCCCUUUGGAACGUCUCCAUCAGAAUGAAAUAUUCUCUCGAGGAACGUUAAACAAUAUACAAUCAAACAUAAGCCUUUUGUUCUCAUUCUGAAGGUUUUCAAAUCUGCAUUAUUAAAAAAGAAGUAAAAUCC